rnacentral:rRNA from 1 species
CCUACGGGUGGCAGCAGUGAGGAAUAUUGGUCAAUGGGCGCGAGCCUGAACCAGCCAAGUCGCGUGAGGGAGGACGGCCCUACGGGUUGUAAACCUCUUUUGCCGGGGAGCAACGGGCGCCACGUGUGGCGUCACUGAGAGUACCCGGAGAAAAAGCAUCGGCAAACUCCGUGCCAGCAGCCGCGGUAAUACGGAGGAUGCGAGCGUUAUCCGGAUUUAUUGGGUUUAAAGGGUGCGAAGGCGGAUGGUUAAGUCAGUGGUCAAAUUGAGGGGCCCAACCCCUUCCCGCCAUUGAAACUGGCGUUCUGGAGUGGAUGAGAAGUAUGCGGAAUGCGUGGUGUAGCGGUGAAAUGCAUAGAUAUCACGAAGAACCCCGAUUGCGAAGGCAGCAUGCCGGCUUCCGACUGACGCUGAGGCACGAAAGCGUGGGGAUCGAACAGGAUUAGAUACCCCUGUAGUC